GACGAACGCUGGCGGCGCGCCUAACACAUGCAAGUCGAACGAGCGAGAGAGAGCUUGCUUUCUCGAGCGAGUGGCGAACGGGUGAGUAACGCGUGAGGAACCUGCCUCAAAGAGGGGGACAACAGUUGGAAACGACUGCUAAUACCGCAUAAGCCCACGGUGCCGCAUGGCACAGAGGGAAAAGGAGCAAUCCGCUUUGAGAUGGCCUCGCGUCCGAUUAGCUAGUUGGUGAGGUAAUGGCCCACCAAGGCGACGAUCGGUAGCCGGACUGAGAGGUUGGACGGCCACAUUGGGACUGAGACACGGCCCAGACUCCUACGGGAGGCAGCAGUGGGGAAUAUUGCACAAUGGGGGAAACCCUGAUGCAGCGACGCCGCGUGGAGGAAGAAGGUCUUCGGAUUGUAAACUCCUGUUGUUGGGGAAGAUAAUGACGGUACCCAACAAGGAAGUGACGGCUAACUACGUG
rnacentral:rRNA from 1 species